rnacentral:rRNA from 1 species
GACGAAGGGGGCAAGCGUUGUCCGGAAUUACUGGGCGUAAAGGGCGCGUAGGCGGUCUUGUUAGUCAGGCGUGAAAGCCCUGGGCUUAACCUGGGAUGUGCGCUUGAUACUGCGAGGCUUGAGUGUGGGAGAGGUUGGUGGAAUUCCCAGUGUAGAGGUGAAAUUCGUAGAUAUUGGGAAGAACACCGGUGGCGAAGGCGGCCAACUGGACCACAACUGACGCUGAGGCGCGAAAGCGUGGGGAGCAAACAGG